AGGGAGUAUACAAAAAGAUAAAUAUAACCAGACAGUAAAAACUAAAAACAUACCUGGUACUCGUGCUCUGCAAGGAAAGGACAAUGGGGAGGAACUGACUCAGAGUCUCCCAAAGUAGUGUGUAAAUGCAAAACACAGACAAAUAGGAGGGAGUAGUAGAAUCAGAGGUGGAGAGACACCCAGAAUGAAUGAAGGAAGAAGAAGGUAUUUACCUAUCUGCAAAAGUUAUGAGGUGGUAAAAGCCAUAGAGCAUCAAAAAAAAAAAAAAAAAAAAAAACAAAAACCCAUGCCUCUGAGAGAAGGAAAAUGGAGACAAGUCAAUAGAGGCAAGAGGAAUAGAAGCAGAGAUGAUGCCCUGUGGGUCAUUGUCAUAAGGAGUCCUUCCAGAGUAAGGUUACUGGCUUUGAAAAGAAUAGCUUUUAGAGCUUCCACUGGGUCUCAUGGAGUGCUGCAGGCCAACUGAAGGACCGCUGCUGUGCCCAGUGAUUCCUGACCAGAUGGCAGCUCCAGGUCUUCCACUCUUUCCCAUGCAUCCUGACAACAAAUGCCUCUCACCUGAGUCAGCUUGAGUGUGUCUUUGUUUCUUGAAACACAAACAAACAAAAGACCCAGAAUACAAUGUCCAAGACCUUUGAGAGUUUGACAAUUACAUUUUUCUAGUACUUUCAAUUAUACUUUCAAAAUACUUAUGUUCUUUUUAGUGUUUUUUUUAUACUGCUUUGUUUUGUCUUAAUACAAUGUUACCACACACAAAAAGACAAUAAACUAUGUUUAUUAUUGACUUUAAACUCAUGGCAUUAGAUUUUCUUAGCAAGCACCUCUAGGGUUUUGAUACAGUAGUAUAUGGAAUGCUAUGCAAGGACUAGACACUUUUUAGAAAUUAAUUUCUGAAAAAGCUCAUGCUUUUGAGUUUGAAAUUUCAUGAUCAUAUGGAUAUGAUUUUGAUGCCAAUGAAACGUCAGGACACAAAAGCUAUCCUUCAGACACCAUACAUGGCUUGCUAAUUAUAUCUUCCGGUAAAUUCUAAUUCCUUUCCCUCUCAUGGUAGACCAAGGGUAGCUAUAAACUCGGAGGUUUUAUUUGAAUAAAAAUUAAUAGAGAAUUUGUUGUAGGAAGGUACAGGCUAGAUGAUGUGGUUGCUUCACCAAAUAAAUCACAAGGGAAAAAAGAGAGAAAAGGUAUGAAACGCAUAGACUGAGAGGCUUAAAAUCAUGUUAAUCAUAUGUGGGCCUGAUUUUAAAUAAUUUAAAUAAAUUCAGGUAAAAAUGCAAAUAAAGACAGAAACUAUGACAUUUUGGAGACAUUUGGAAAUUUGAAUGCUAACUGGAUUUUGACGGUAAGAAGGAACAUUGUUAGUUAUAUUUGUGAUAAUGCUUUGUGGUUAUGCUUUAAAAAAAAAAGAAUCCUUAUCUUUUAGAAACACAUACUAGUAUCUGGGAUUUCUUCCAAAAUAAUACAGGAGGCAGAAAAAUGUGUGAGGGCAUAGAUGCAACAAGAUCGGUUAUGAGAUAAUUACUGAGGCUGAGGAUGGAGAUUUAUACAAUUUUAUGAAUACUUUUAUGUAUAUUUUUACGUUUUUCAUAAUAAAAAAACUUUUAAAAAAUCAAUAAUGACCUUGAGCAUCUGCCCUUUCUGAGCCUUGAUAUUAAAUAAGUGAGAGAAUUUUUCCUCCCUCCAAAUGUGUGUUUAUGUGUGUUAUGUGUGUGUGUUAUAUAUUUGUAUGUAAAAAUAUGAUUGGAAAUAAAAUGCCAAAAUACUAAUAGUGACUAUAUGUCAAUGUUACAUUCUUUAGACUGAAUGUAUUCCCCCCUCCUCCCCAAAUUCAUAUGCUGAAACCUAAUCCCCAAUGUGAUGGUGUUUGGAAGUAGGGCCUUUGGAAGUGACCAGGUCAUGAGGGUGGAGCACUCAUGAAUGGGAUUAGUGCCCUUAUAAAAAACGACCCCAGAGAGCUCCCCUGCUCCUUCAGCCAUGUGAGGACACAGUGAGAAGAUGGAUAUAUAU
rnacentral:lncRNA from 1 species